GACGAACGCUGGCGGCGUGCUUAACACAUGCAAGUCGAACGGAAAGGCCCUGCUUUUGUGUGGUGCUCGAGUGGCGAACGGGUGAGUAACACGUGAGUAACCUGCCCUUGACUUUGGGAUAACUUCAGGAAACUGGGGCUAAUACCGGAUAGGAGCUCCUGCUGCAUGGUGGUGGUUGGAAAGUUUCGGCGGUUGGGGAUGGACUCGCGGCUUAUCCGCUUGUUGGUGGGGUAGUGGCUUACCAAGGCUUUGACGGGUAGCCGGCCUGAGAGGGUGACCGGCCACAUUGGGACUGAGAUACGGCCCAGACUCCUACGGGAGGCAGCAGUGGGGAAUAUUGCACAAUGGGCGGAAGCCUGAUGCAGCAACGCCGCGUGCGGGAUGACGGCCUUCGGGUUGUAAACCGCGUUCGCCUGUGACGAAGCGUGAGUGACGGUAAUGGGUAAAGAAGCACCGGCUAACUACGUGC
rnacentral:rRNA from 1 species